rnacentral:rRNA from 1 species
GACAGAGGUCCCAAGCGUUAGGCGGAAUCACUGGGCUUAAAGCGUGUGUAGGCGGACCUGCAAGUACCUUGUGAAAUCCCACGGCUUAACCGUGGAACUGCUUGGUAUACUGCCGGUCUUGAGGCAUCUAGAGGUAACUGGAACAAACGGUGGAGCGGUGAAAUGCGUAGAUAUCUGGAGGAACACCGGUGGCGAAGGCGGCAUCCUGGACCGAGAUUGACGCUGAGGCGCGAAAGCCAGGGGAGCAAACGGG